rnacentral:rRNA from 1 species
GUCCACGCCCUAAACGAUGUCGACUGGUUGUUGGGGUUUGACACUCUCAGUAACGAAGCUAACGCGUGAAGUCGACCGCCUGGGGAGUACGGCCGCAAGGUUAAACUCAAAGGAAUUGACGGGACCCGCACAAGCGGUGGAUUAUGUGGAUUAAUUCGAUGCAACGCGAAAACCUUACCUACCCUUGACAUGUCCGAGAGCCCCGAAGAGAUUUUGGGUGUGCCCGAAAGGGAAUCGGAACACAGGUGCUGCAUGGCUGUCGU